ensembl:lncRNA
UGACGUCACAAAUUGAGAUGCUUCUACAGUACAUAGCCCCACCUCACCAGUUUUAUUCAGAGAAAGUCUUGUUUUUUUUGUUUGUUUUUUUUUGCCCAAAGCCAAUCUAUAUAACAGGAAUCAGUCAUUCAAGACGAACCAACCAGUUAUAACUCACAUUACGGAGUUAAAAGAUGGAUAGAAAUACAGUAUAAAGUUUAAAGAUGGAAAGAAACACAGUAUAAAGGUAAAAGAUGGAUAGAAACACAGUAUAAAGUUUAAAGAUGGAAAGAAACACAGUAUAAAGGUAAAAGAUGGAUAGAAAUACAGUAUAAAGGUAAAAGAUGGAUAGAAAUACAGUAUAAAGUUUAAAGAUUGAUAGAAAUUCAGUAUAAAGGUAAAAGAUGGAUAGAAAUACUGUAUAAAGGUAAAAGAUGGAUAGAAAUACAGUCUAAAGUUUAAAGAUGGAAAGAAACACAGUAUAAAGUUUAAAGAUGGAUAGAAAUACAGUAUACUGCAGUGUUUAUUUCCAAGGCAGAGUGUAACAUGUCUGUUUAUGACAUGGUAAUGGAGGGGAGGAGUGCGCUUUCAAGGAAGGUCAAAUGCCAAUAAUACGGUAUACGUGGUCUGAAACAUUAACAUGUAUGUCUCAGUGUGAAUGACUGAUCAUCAAACCCAAUCAACAGCUUUGGUUUAUUGCUAUCUUAAACAAACACACGUCCUUUCAAAGCCUGUUUCCUGCCUGCCAGCUUAAACGAGACCCCCGCUAGCAGUAGCUACCCCAUGCUGAGGCUCCAAACCGGACCCCGGACUCUAGAAAACGAGCUGCAGCGCAACACAGAGAACAACAUAAUUAACUCUUAAUGAACCUCCUUCUUCCAUCACUAACACACACUUCCCAAAUUCAAUUUGGCCUAAUCCUGCCUUUAUGGUAAUGUAUAGCUCAUUAAAAUGUUAGUUACAGACUCAUUAAAAUGCACUCAGAGACAUAAUGAAUUCAUUACUAUGAUACUGCUGAAAAAGAAAGAGGAGCUAGACGAGAAGAAGGACACGGGAGAAGAAAGCAAAGGAAAGAGCGAGAAUGAGAGAGGAAGACAGGCUUCCCGAUGACUUAAUUUUGACUGGAAUCUGCAUAUAUUUGCAUAAUAAACCUGCAUGCUGUGCAGCUAAUUUUCAGCAUAGCUCUAUAAUGAAGGCCCUUGCAAUUAAGAUUCUUUUCUUCAAAAUAAAUGUAGGACCCGUUCAUAGCUCUUUGUAGCGUCUCACUUUGUGUGUACGCAUCUGUCUGGGUGUGUCAGUGAUGUCUCGUUUGGGUUACAUUCGAAUUAUUUUGCCUAAGUAUGGUAGCUGAUGAAUGCAGGUCAAAGACGACCCAACAAUAUAAACAUAAACGAUGUUGAAAACACCACCUGUGCGCAAAAGCAGCGUGUCCAGAAUGUGAAUUUUCAGCCAUUAAGUGUUUUUCAGCUAGUUCUUCAGCUUUGUAACCCUGCGCUGUGAAGGAAUCAGAGAAGGCAGCAGUAGCAAAGAGACUCCCAAAAAGCCAAGGUCUUCAAGAGACGAUGUUUCAGCCGCUGUAGUCUGAUUCUGCCUAAUGAACGUAGCUGGAGAGCUCUGAAAACUUGGAGACUGAGUAGAAUCAAAAGACUUCAUCUCAUCAUCCAACUCCGCUGCUAACACGCCUGCUUUUAUCCCGUACCUCGGAAUCAAACAAACGUCUGACUGCAUGCGAGAGACGAGACUCAAGACAGAAGCUGGGGAUGAUUGUGAGAUCAAAGACAUGAAUUGGCUGAUCAGGUUGGGAGAUUCAUAUUCCUCUGUAAAACAGGGAGAAAGGCAAACCUUUUGCAGCAUUAAAUAUGUUGCUGGCUGUGUAAGUUUUCUUAUAUUCGUUACUACGCCUUUGAUAUAGAUCUCUAAUUAGUUUGUCAAGAUGGUGAUCACAUGCCGGGGUUGUAAGAACCCUGAUGGAAAUGAACCCUUUGGCGGAAUCAAAGUUUUUUUUUCUUUUUCCAUUAGUAUCAAAGGGUAUUUAGCCACUGUUGGCUUUUAGACUGUCAGGGCAGAAUACUACCAGGAAGGCUUAACACAGCUCAGGAACUGGAGAUCUGACAAAAGGUUUCCUGUGAAAGGACUUUUGCCUGCUCAUCAAUACCAUCAAAUGGUGUAUCUCUAUCUCAUUAUCUCUUUUCAACUCGUCCAGUCUUGAGACAUCUGACAUCUUAAAAAAUUAGUUCCAUGGUGCACUUUCAUUUACAGCUUUUGGCAGAGACCCUUAGAGCAGCUUACAGGCUUAAGGGCCUUGCUCAAGGGCCCAGCACUGGCGAGUUGGUGGUACUGGGCGUCAAACUCACAACCUCCCGAUCAGGAGCCCACUGCCGUAACCACUGACCUACAACUGCCCUGUUUUCAAAGUCUCUGGCACCUAAAACUCAGUGUACAGUCUUCUAGCUUCCCUCAAGUACAAGAAGAAGAAGAAGAAAAAAUGAUGUACAUCUGCCAGGUCUUUAGAUAAACCUUCAGUGCUCAACAACAAUACACCUGCUACUAUAGUUCAGAAUCUGUUAGUCUGAUAAACACGGACUUGGAUAUUAUGGUCAUGGUUUGGUCAUGGUGGAGAUAGUGAAGGACUGGUACUGGUCCUGUACCCACUGGCUCAUUUCAGUUCAUUUCAGUGUGUGUGGGUCUAACAAUUGACCUUGUUACAAAGGAGUAAUACUGGACCUAGAUCAAUAACAAGUAAGCCAAAAGCAAGAAUGGAACACGAAAAAUCUGUCAAGCAGAAUUAAAAGAAAUCUUAAAGGAGGAACUAGAUUCAAACGAGUAAAGAGUACAAUUUGUUAAAGGAGAGUGAAGUCUCUCAAUUCCAAACCAACUCAAAACGCUGACCAGAGAAGGAUUAGCCCUGCCUCACUCAGGGUGAGCAUUGAGUCUUCUCAAGGUAAAUUAUGGUUCCUUUCAAGGUGAAUCUUGAUUCCUCUCAAAAUAAGUAUUGGUUCCUUUAACAUCAAGUGCUGGUUCCUCUCAAGGUGAGCAUUGAUUUCUUUCACUGUGUCUUGAUUUCUAUUGAAGUGAGUCUUGGUUCUGCUCAAAGUGAGUCUUGAUUCCUCACAAAAUAAGAUUCAUUUCCUUUCAAGGCAAGUGCUGGUUGUUCUCAAAGUUAAUCUUGGUUCCUCUCAAGGCAAGUGCUGAUUCCUCUCAAGGUGAAUCUUGAUUCCUCACAUUGUAAGCUUUAGUUCCUCUCAAGGCGAGUGUUGAUUCCUCUCAAGGCAAGUGUUGAUUGCUCUCAAGGUGAGUCUUGAUUCCUCACAUUAUAAGCUUCAGCUCCUCUCAAGGCAAGUGUUGGUUCUUCUCACAAUGAGUCUUGAUUCCUAUUAAUAUGAGUCUUGAUUCUUUUCAAUGGUGUCUUGAUCCCUAUUAAGGCAAGUGUUUGUUUCUCUCAAGGUCAGUUUUGGCCUCGCUCAUGAUAAGUGUUCUCAAAGGUUACUUCCUCACCACUGUUGCCCUUGGCUUGAGCAUUAACAUCUCUAAACCUGCUUCGAGGUAAUCUGCAAUUUGUAAUCACUGUUAUAAUAAUAAAAUAUUAGUCUAUUCCAGCUCAGUACCUGUCCACGCAGUACGUACGUACACACACACACACACACACACACACACACACACACACACACACACACACACACACACACACAAAAGCACACAUUAAUUGCUCUCAUGCAGGGUGUUUUGGAGGGAUCCACUGAAGCAGAAGUGAUGUCUGAUGACAUAGGACCUGCUGGGUGUCACAAUGGCCAAAUACAGCUGGAGACAGUGUGAAGAUGCUUUCUCUCCUUCCCUCUGUGUUUUUUAAUCUCUCACACUGAUAAACUCAGCCAGCCUUCAUCACCAGUUUCAUGCUGUUUUGUAUAUUUUUCCCUUUUUUUUGUACGAACCACACAAAAGUAUCAUUUGUUUGUCACCUUACAUAUCGAAGGUUUUAUUCAUUUUUUCUGCAUGUGAAGAGGAUGUAAGUGAAAGCUAAGCAGAGUGAAUUCCUGUACGUAGCACUCUGCAGUGGGAAUCUGAUGCUGGACCCUUCCUGACGCAGGCUUCUAUUUUCUGCCCAUGAACUGUGACAUUGUGAGAACGACCUCGGGGAUGUACAGUAAGACAAGCCUCACCGCACAGCCCUGC